CUCCCUGGAGAGUCUUCCUUGCUUGAGUAAUUGUUCAAACUUGUUCCUACCCAAAGAAUGACCUGUUAAUACCAUCGGCACAUUCAAAGCUCCAGACAAUCGUGCAGCUACCUCUCCUGCAUCGGCAUAGUGGCCGUGGAUCACAUAAGGCCAUGUUGGUUUUCCAGCAUUUACCUGGUCGCCAAUAGCUCUUGCCAUGUUGACAAUGUGGCCCAAUGCUCCGUCUACAAAUUCAGGAUUGGAGUGUAAAAGGAUGAUGCAGCAGUGCAGCAGCAAGGGUGAAUGCUAACUGUAACAAUUUGUGAGAUAAUUUUAAUUAGCAUAAGAAGGCAAAAAUAUGUGUGUUCUAUUUCAGACGAAGAUAAUGUGUAUUACUUUUCACGAGGUCCACAGGGGAUUCGGACUAUGUAGGCACCACAGCUACCAAAACCAUCAGACGGGCAUGAUAGCAUCUCAAUUGGCUCUCCGUAGCUGGAGUCAACUUCUGGGGAUGUGAUUUGUCGAGUCAGGAGAUCUACUCGAUAUAUUCCUUUUGUAUUUGCAAGUGCUCGGGCAAGUUCCACGACAUAUUUCACCUGAGUAUUUUCAUAAAAUUCACAUAUCAGAUGCGUUAGUAAGAACAAUUAGUGUGCCGUGCAUGGAAACUUGCUCUGGAAUCAUUGACUAAAGUGGUUUACAGUCUCUCAGCAGUGGAGAAUGAAGAUGAAGACUGAUUUUAAACUUGCGUGUAGCAAAGGAAAUUGUUAAACGUUUACUACCUGACCGCCAG